AAAAAUAGAUAAACCUUCAUCCUGGGACAGCUCCGACUAACCCCCAACUAACUCGUGUACGGCACUCCAACCCCCCUCAGCCGUACAGGAGGUAGCGCGGCAGUCGGCAGCUGCACGAGUGUGAGCAGGUAGUUGUACGGCGGCCCGGCUCGGAAGCUACCUGACUGUAGUGACGCACACUGGUCGUUGGCGGUUGUCGGCAGGCACGCGAGUGGGAGCUGGCAGUUGGGCGAACACGUGUGUGGGAAGCUGCGUCUGACCACGGUGGAACACGGCGGAGGCUGGCGGUUGGCGCGGCGUGUGAGUGGGAGUGCAUAGUCGUGCGCGCGCCGUCUAGGAAGCUGUGUGUGUGAGCUGCGUGUAAGCUCAGAGAGACGCAUGGGGCUGACCCGGUUUCCAUGAGCUGCCUCUGGGCGCACACGGUUUCAAACAGGGGUUAAUGACGAGUGUGGUGGGAACGAAUGCGUACGUAGACCAGAGCGGACGGCGGAGUGGGCUUGCAGGCGGCACGAGAGUAGGCAGUCAGUAGCGCAAGUUGCGAAUUCACAUGUCACCUCGUAACCGACGAUAAACGCUGUGGACGGUCGCGCCCAUGGCUGGCUGACAGAAAGCGGCUGCUGUAUUGGGAUGGCUGGGCUGGGCGACGGCGGCCGGGCGUUGCUUGGGACUACCAGAAAGGAUGCGCCCGAAACCAACCUGGAG
rnacentral:lncRNA from 1 species